rnacentral:snRNA from 1 species
AGAGAAUUGUUUGAACCCGGGAAGCGGAGGUUGCAGUGAGCUGAGAUUGUACCACUGCACUCCAGCUUGGGGAACAGAG